CCCAACUGAGGUGCACCUGUUGUUCAGACAAAGUCCAGAUCCCAGUCCUCUGCCUGGCGGUGACCCCUGCCUGGGGUUGACCAGGUCACUCAGGAUGUUUGCGUCCACAGCGAAGUGAACAUUGGACAGGAGGUAACCCCCAGACACCUCAACCUACUCCCAGCUCGCCUCUGUCCAUCCCCCCGAAGAGACAGGUCUGGUAAGCCCUGCAGGUCAGGAACGCCAUGCUGGGACAAAGGAACCUUAUCUUGGGGGCACUGGGGAGCCAUCGCUAUUUGGGGACUGAGGAGUUGUAUGCCCGGAGCUGAGAGCUGAACAGACUGCCCUGGAGCCAGAAAACAGCCAGACAGGCCUGGGCUGAGACCUAGAAGGCAGGCCCUCCUGUGGUUUAUUCAGAACGUCUGCCUACAGAACUAAAGAAGGAUCCAUCCAAGCAAAGACUGGCCUGGGGUGUCCCCUGCAGUACAGUUUAUAAGAACAGAACAACCUGGAUGUCCAUCAAUGAGGGACCCAGUAGAUAAACCAAGGAACUUGACUGCUGCCUGGCUGUAGAUACAGGAACAAAGCAAGUUACAACCUGCUGUGCCACGGGCUCCAUGGACAUGUCUGUCUAGGUUGUGGGAGGUUUGAGUCCUGUGCUCUUGGCCUCAGGUUCCCCAUCGACCAACCGCAAUUUAGCCGGUGUUGCUGAAACUGCGAAGCGACCACGGAGGGCAGUCUGCUGGGGACUGUGGUUUGCCCUAUCUACAAAGUGGGGCCACAGCCUCCCAAAUGGUACCUGCCGCACUGUCCCCAAACCCCUCCUCUGUCAAGCAAACAAUGAUGCUUUCAAAGAUGUGAGUAAACCUCAGUCCUAGUCCGCCCUCCAGCCCACAGGGGAUCCUCUUUUUAUCAACCGUCCCAACCUCACCUCCAGUGCAUUCCUCUUAACUCCUCAAACUCGGGGCCUUCGCCCUUGCCACGCCCUCGGCUGGGAAAACAUCCUUUCCAGGAGGGCCCGGGGCUGACUCUCAGUCUCAGCUCAAAAGUCUGCUCAAUGAGGUCUCACCCCACCCCUGCUCCACCCCAACUUGCAACUAAAUAUCCGUUUGUGGUUUUUCUGGUGGAUUUACGUGCUCCCAAGAAAAGGAGGAUCCCAGGCCGGUCUGUGAAUCCCCCCCUCCGCACAAUGCCUAGGAAACGGCCUGGCAUUCAGUAAAUGUUGAAUAAAUUUUUGCA